rnacentral:rRNA from 1 species
UACGUAGGUGGCAAGCGUUGUCCGGAUUUAUUGGGUUUAAAGGGUGCGUAGGCGGUCUAUUAAGUCAGCGGUGAAAUACUCCAGCUUAACUGGAGGGGUGCCAUUGAUACUGAUGGACUUGAGUCAAGUCGAGGUAGGCGGAAUUGACGGUGUAGCGGUGAAAUGCUUAGAUGUCGUCAAGAACACCAAUAGUGAAGACAGCUUACUGGGCUUAAACUGACGCUGAGGCACGAAAGUGUGGGGAUCAAACAGG